CGCCUCUAGCUAAACCCAUGUAUUAGAGGUACUGCCUGCCCAGUGACAUAGAUUCAACGGCCACGGUAUUUUGACCGUGCAAAGGUAGCAUAAUCACUUGUUUUUUAAAUAAAGACCUGUAUGAAAGGCAAGACGAAAGCUUAACUGUCUCCUUUGUCUAGUCUACGAACCUGAUCUCCCUGUAAAAAAGCAGGGAUACACCCGUAAGACGAGAAGACCCUAUGGAGCUUAAGAUAAAUAGACAACUUUACCACACCCUAACCCACAGUAAAACCUGCCUUACUAUCUUCAGUUGGGGCGACUACGGAGCACACAAAACCUCCGCGAACUAUAUGCUAAACAACACAAAUUGACGCACUAAAACAUUAAAACAAUUGACCCAAUAACUUGAUCAACGAACCAAGCUACCCUAGGGAUAACAGCGCAAUCCUCUUUUAGAGUCCUUAUCGCCGAGAGGGUUUACGACCUCGAUGUUGGAUCAGGGUACCCAGACAAUGCAGCCGUUGUCAUAGGUUUGUUUGUUCAACAAUUAAAACCCU
rnacentral:rRNA from 1 species